rnacentral:rRNA from 1 species
CGUGUAGGCGGUCUUUUAAGUCUGAUGUGAAAGCCCCGGGCUCAACCCGGGAAGUGCAUUGGAAACUGGGAGACUUGAAUACGGGAGAGGGUAGUGGAAUUCCUAGUGUAGGAGUGAAAUCCGUAGAUAUUAGGAGGAACACCGGUGGCGAAGGCGGCUACCUGGACCGAUAUUGACGCUGAGACGCGAAAGCGUGGGGAGCAAACAGGAUUAGAUACCCUGGUAGUCCGCGCCGUAAACGAUGAGAACUAGGUGUUGCGGGUAUUGACCCCUGCAGUGCCGCAGCUAACGCAUUAAGUUCUCCGCCUGGGAAGUACGGUCGCAAGACUAAA